AGCCUUGUGGUGAAUCAAUCACACUAGAUUGCAAAUCUGGAGAAGUAGUCUGAGAUCUACCAGGGCUU
rnacentral:tRNA from 1 species